GGCAAGAUGGCCGAGCGGUCUAAGGCGCUACGUUCAGGUCGUAGUCUCUUCGGGGGCGUGGGUUCGAAUCCCACUCUUGUCA
rfam:Dacryopinax sp. DJM-731 SS1 chromosome Tnknown DACRYscaffold_12, whole genome shotgun sequence.